UGCAGUCCGACAUUGACGCUGUUUCUAACUGGUGCGACAAGUGGCUCAUGAAAUUAAACAUCAUGACUGGAACCACCUUCCUGCCUCCAUUGCUGCAAUCGAAGAAUCUGCCGCCUUCAAAAUUGCAGUUAUUGAUAUAUUGUUGUCAGACCACUCCUCUCUGUAAUGCCCUCGGGCCCUGAGAGUAUGAAAAUAAAUAAAUAAAUAA